UGGGGAAUUUUGGACAAUGGGGGAAACCCUGAUCCAGCCAUCCCGCGUGUGCGAUGAAGGCCUUCGGGUUGUAAAGCACUUUUGGCAGGAACGAAACGUCAUGGGUUAAUACCCCGUGAAACUGACGGUACAUGCAGAAUAAGCACCGGCUAACUCCGUGCCAGCAGCCGCGGUAAUACGUAGGGUGCAAGCGUUAAUCGGAAUUACUGGGCGUCAAGCGUGCGCAGGCGGUUCGGAAAGAAAGAUGUGAAAUCCCAGAGCUCAACGUUGGAACUGCAGUUUUAACUACCGAGCUAGAUUGUGUCAGAGGGAGGUGGAAUUCCGCGUGUAGCAGUGAAAUGCGUAGAUAUGCGGAGGAACACCGAUGGCGAAGGCAGCCUCCUGGGAUAACACUGACGCUCAUGCACGAAAGCGUGGGGAGCAAACAGG
rnacentral:rRNA from 1 species